GCCCUGGUGGUGGAAUUGGUAGACACGCUGUCUUGAGGGGGCAGUGGGGCGACCCGUUCCGGUUCGACUCCGGACCAGGGCACCA
rnacentral:tRNA from 1 species